CCAUGAGGGCACGUAACAGUCGAGCGGAUGACGGGAGCUUGCUCCUUGAUUCAGCGGCGGACGGGUGAGUAAUGCCUAGGAAUCUGCCUGGUAGUGGGGGACAACGUUUCGAAAGGAACGCUAAUACCGCAUACGUCCUACGGGAGAAAGCAGGGGACCUUCGGGCCUUGCGCUAUCAGAUGAGCCUAGGUCGGAUUAGCUAGUUGGUGGGGUAAUGGCUCACCAAGGCGACGAUCCGUAACUGGUCUGAGAGGAUGAUCAGUCACACUGGAACUGAGACACGGUCCAGACUCCUACGGGAGGCAGCAGUGGGGAAUAUUGGACAAUGGGCGAAAGCCUGAUCCAGCCAUGCCGCGUGUGUGAAGAAGGUCUUCGGAUUGUAAAGCACUUUAAGUUGGGAGGAAGGGCAGUAAGUUAAUACCUUGCUGUUUUGACGUUACCGACAGAAUAAGCACCGGCUAACUCUGUGCCAGCAGCCGCGGUAAUACAGAGGGUGCAAGCGUUAAUCGGAAUUACUGGGCGUAAAGCGCGCGUAGGUGGUUCGUUAAGUUGGAUGUGAAAGCCCCGGGCUCAACCUGGGAACUGCAUCCAAAACUGGCGAGCUAGAGUACGGUAGAGGGUGGUGGAAUUUCCUGUGUAGCGGUGAAAUGCGUAGAUAUAGGAAGGAACACCAGUGGCGAAGGCGACCACCUGGACUGAUACUGACACUGAGGUGCGAAAGCGUGGGGAGCAAACAGGAUUAGAUACC
rnacentral:rRNA from 1 species